ACCUCUGUGGUGUAGUGGUAGCACGCUCCCCUUGUAUGAGUGGAUUGCGGGUUCAACUCCCGCGUGAGGUU